rnacentral:lncRNA from 1 species
CUACUUUUACUUCUUAUAUAUACAAUCACUUUCUGGUCUAUCGUCAGGAGGACUUAUGUUACUUCCAUUGAUAAUAUCCCACAAGUCUUCACCCAUAAGGUAUGAUUCCAUAUAUGUUUUCCAUAACUUUUACUUGGACCAAUUUAGCAACUUUAUUCCAUUCCAUUACAAUGACAAUUAAAAUUCAUGGUGAGAAAUUAGUUGAAUCUAUUACUAACCCGAUCUUGAAUAAUAUCCAGAAUCUAAUGUGUGGCUAUGACUUCGAUACCAUGUAAAGAAAUAGCAGAAGAAAGGUGUAACUGGAGAGACCAUAUGCUAGCUCAAGAACGUUAACUAAAAUUGAAAGAUUCAACUACGAAGAGGAGGCUAUAAAGGUAAAGAAAGAUAUUGAAAGGAAGAACUUG